rnacentral:rRNA from 1 species
GACGAACGCUGGCGGCGUGCUUAACACAUGCAAGUCGAACGGAAAGGCCCUGCUUUUGUGGGGUGCUCGAGUGGCGACCGGGCGAGUAACACGUGAGUAACCUGCCCUUGACUUUGGGAUCACUUCAGGACACUGGGGCUAAUACCGGAUAGGAGCUCCUGCUGCAUGGUGGGGGUUGGAAAGUUUCGGCGGUUGGGGAUGGACUCGCGGCUUAUCAGCUUGUUGGUGGGGUAGUGGCUUACCAAGGCUUUGACGGGUAGCCGGCCUGAGAGUGUGACCGGCCACAGGGGGACUGAGAUACGGGCCGGACUCCUACGGGAGGCAGCAGUAGGGAAGAUUGCACAAUGGGCGGAAGCCUGAUGCAGCAACGCCGCGUGCGGGAUGACGGCCUGCGGGUUGUAAACCGCUUUCGCCUGUGACGAAGCGUGAGUGACGGUAAUGGGUAAAGAAGCACCGGCUAACUACGUG